AUGCUGCUGAAGGGAAGGUGGUCCGCCGGGGCUCGUGCCUCCCAACCAAUGCUACCGAUCACUGCUCGUCGGUCGUCGUCCUUCAUUCCCAAUCUAGGCUGCGCAAAAUACAAGAAGAUUUAUGAUCUUGUUAAGGAGCAUGUUGAGAGGUCUGAAGGAGGAGGGGCAGGGUUGGAAGCAAUGAAUAUCAAUGAAGCAACAAAAUAUUGGUUGGACCAAUUCCCGAUAGCCGUCUUCUUUAACCUGCUUCAGAAUCAGAAUCAGGAAAGACUGGGCUGGAGAAUCAGGAAGGUGGAACUCAAGGGCUAUACGGCAGUCAUCCACGUCAGUGUGUACCAGACAAUCGAAGUAUGCCAAUACUGGAACGGGAGAUUGGAGCAAAACUAUCAGAAAUCAGGUUGGAUUACCCACCCCUUAACAAAGAAGUCAUACAGGAUGAAACUUACUUGUGGAAGUGUGCUGCAAGUUCCUGACUGUGCAGAGUACUUCAUGGAGAAUCCGGACCGAUUAGCUGAAGCAGAUUACGUACCAACAAAGGGGAAGGGGUUUUCACAGGAGCACAUAGGCGAGGGAGGGCAUGGCCGAACUGGAGGUACGCCUCACAGGGCACUGAUUCAAGGUACACCCAACGUCAUCUAUGAUCAGAGGAAAAAUUUCUGUAUGGACUCCAUGAAACCGAGGAGGAAGAACAAGGGAAAGAGCAGAUUACCGCAGUGUAUUCAGGAGAAGGAAAACGGCAGUUGUCCAACUUUUCUCCAGUUGACAGUUUGCUACCCAUCUCUGUGCACUAAGCCUUGA
rnacentral:rRNA from 1 species